rnacentral:rRNA from 1 species
UACAGAGGGUGCGAGCGUUGUCCGGAAUCACUGGGCGUAAAGGGCGCGUAGGUGGCGUCGCAAGUUGGUGGUGAAAGCUCGGCGCUCAACGCCGAGUCGGCCGCCAAGACUGCGAGGCUGGAGCACUGUAGAGACUAAUGGAAUUCCGGGUGUAGCGGUGGAAUGCGUAGAGAUCCGGAAGAACACCGGUGGCGAAGGCGGUUAGCUGGGCAGUUGCUGACACUGAGGCGCGACAGCGUGGGGGAGCAAACAGG